rnacentral:lncRNA from 1 species
UUAAGGGACUGAAAGGAGAAAAAGGAAGACAAGGAAAUCCAGGCUUACAGGGAGUAGAAGGACUGAAUGGAGAACGAGGAGAGAAAGGUGAGAAAGGAGAUCCAGGCAUUCAAGGCAUCAGUGGACAAAAAGGAGAAUCUGGUGUCCAGGGUUUGGUUGGACCUCCUGGUCUCAGAGGUCAGCCAGGAGAUCGAGGACCCCCAGGACCACCUGGAUCAGAUGGAAAACCUGCACGAGAAUUUUCAGAAGAAUUUAUUCGACAGGUGUGUUCAGAUGUACUGAGAAG